AGUGAUACAAGUAUAACAUGCUGUAACACUGUGUGUGUCUACCUGAGACAGGACGGGGAUACGAACCAGAACAAAGGCAGGAAUGUUGGCUGUAGUCCACUUCACAAGAAAGAGAUUUCUAUAUUAAAAGUAUUUCCUCUAUCUAUAAUCUCUAGCAAUGGAUAUUUUAUAAUAACAGAUUUUUCUACUAGGAAAGGCAAACUAUAUUUCAUAUGUGUGCUGUAAUGUUGUUUUACAGUGUUACAAGUCAAAGGGGAACACAGCUUUCACAUACUUCCCUGGGGAAAGGUUUGGGUAGGCAUUGCCUGUCAAUAACUACAGAAUUGUUUUAUGCUCUAGGCAUGUUUCUCCACAUUACAGUAGUUCAUUCUUUGAACAAACAGAGAUGGAAAAUUCAACAAGUAUAAUACUUUAAAGGUGACAUUAAGCCAAACUGGAGUUAGCACUGGUGACUUCUGUGCAUCUACAUUUAGGUUAUCAUCCACUGCUGGUCCAUAAUCAGAAUUCUCCAAAAAUUCAUUAUAGAGAAGUGCCAAAGAAUUGGUCUCUCAACACAGAAAGUCCAAAAUGUGUUCAUUGUCUUCUAUGGAUCACUUCUGUCCUUUAUGCUGAGUGCACAGUAAGAUGAAGUUACUACAGCUGUGACUUCUUCACCUCAUCUGUUUGAGUUCUCUGCCACUCCAAAGCUGUGACUAGCACACAAUCACGGGAGUUUUUGUUUCCACUCAGGGCAGGGCUUUGUCCACAAUGUUUGGACAUAAAAUUUAGCAGAGAAACUGUAUCAGUAGGUGAUAUAAUGAAUGUCUCUACUAGAAUAUAAUUGUUUUCCUCAUUAAUAAGAUACACUUCACAAUAACUCAAAAAUUCUCUAUUAACAGGUAUAUAUCUAAGGGGCUCAGUCUCAGCCUUAUAGUUUGUUUGAGUGUUCUCACACAUCAAACAGAGGUAUCAGCCAUCUUCUUUAAUCACUUCUGUAAUCGUUCCUCCCUGCACCCAGGGAUAAUGGCAUCAGUACCUGGACUCUGGAGCUGGAAAGAUGCAAACAGGCAAGGUGAGAUGCCAGGAACAGGGCCUUGACUGCAAUAACAGGCCUUAAUGGUCCUAAUCAGCCUCACCUGGGGCCUCCACCCACACUCUCUUCCCACGGGGAGGGAAUGAGCAAGCAGGAGCGUGAAGCUUUAAAUGUGGGACAGGCCUGAGACAGCUAAAUCUGAAUAAUUGGCAGCCUACUUGACACACACUAAAAUGAGGAACAAACACUUAUGUCAGAUAUAAAUACUGUGGAAUAUCCAGUGUAAUUUCUUAUUCCUGAAAGGAGGAUAGUCAGUAUGAUCCAUUUUGAAAACUGUUGGCUAAUAAGGGCUGCUGUUCCCUUCGGAAAGGGCUCUGCCAGGAAACCACUGUUGGUACGUUCUGAUAUAUAAUAUUUCUAUAUCAGAACAUAUCAAACUCAAAAGUGACUGCAUGUGUAAAUUCAAAGCAUAAUACAUGGGAAGUGCUGUA